rnacentral:rRNA from 1 species
AGUGAACGCUGGCGGCAUGCCUAACACAUGCAAGUCGAACGAGCUUUGGCAGUUUAUCGUCAGAGUUAGUGGCAAACGGGUGAGUAAUACGUGGACAAUCUUCCCUCGAGCGGGGGAUAACUCCGGGAAACCGGAGCUAAUACCGCGUGAGACCACGUCCUGGCAUCAGGAUGAGGUUAAAGCUCCGCAAGGGGCGCUUGAGGAGGGGUUCACGGCCUAUCAGCUAGUUGGCGGGGUUAAAGCCCACCAAGGCGACGACGGGUAACCGGUCUGAAAGGACGACCGGUCACAAUGGCACUGAGACACGGGCCAUACUCCUACGGGAGGCAGCAGUGGGGAAUUUUGCGCAAUGGGGGAAACCCUGACGCAGCGAUGCCGCGUGGAGGACGAAGGUCUUCGGAUUGUAAACUCCUUUUGUCGGUGAAAAACAUUUACGUGAAUAACGUAAACUGAUUGUAUCCGGCGAAUAAGCCACGGCUAACUUCGUG